UGAAAGGCGAAACGUAAUGUGAAUCGCAACUAACAGUGAAUCAUCGAAUCUUUGAACGCAGGCCGCGCUUUGCAUAUCACUCGUGUUAUCGCAAGGCAUUUACGUAUGAGUGUCAGCCUAAUAUACUUUUGGUUUAAUGAUACUUUGUAUUAUUAGAUUCAUUAUGCGAAUAUCAUUUUUUUGAUAUACGCGAUUAACAACUGUAUGUCUGGCCUCAUAUGUGAAAGGUUACCCGCUGGAUUUAAGC
rnacentral:misc_RNA from 1 species